GGAGGACAGACGCAGCGCUGGGCGGUCAGCGCUGCCCACCUGCCGCGGGGAAGCCCAGGCCGGCCGAGCGCUGCUGUGAGCAGGAACAGACCGCUCGUAAACGGCCCGGCCAUUACCCUUUAUGCGUGCUUGUUCUAUGUCAGCAGUUCACGUUUUGGCACCAGAUGGAGGCUUUCUUUUGGUGAAAUGCCACCGUGUCAUUCAGCCGAGCUUUGAGCCUUUGAAUGUUCGCGCAGGGAUUUUUAGGGAGCAGAUCCAGAGAGCUGGACUGCCUCCUCUGCAGUCUGGACCGUCUGCGUCUUUACAGAGCACCUCCCACCGUGAAGCACAAGGCCCCUCCCUGCUCACUGGAAUGAAAUGAUCGUCCUAAGAGGUCAACUUGCUUAAUUAUAUUUAAUUCCCCCAACUUUCUCCUGUGGCAGGAGGUAAAAUGCCACUGGAUAUGGCUUUUCUCUUGAAAGUACGUGGAAGAGCUGUGUUGGAGGGUCAGAAUAAGUGGUGUGUCUAUCCCUAGUUAGAGGAGGUCGCCUUUCAGUUGUGGUGGACUGAGGCCAUCGGCCACCAGAACAAGCCAUCUCUUGCUUUACUGUAGAACCAGCUGUAACAUCUAGAACGUGUUGCUCCUCUUUUCCUAAGGACUCAGAAUAUACCCACGAAGUUACUUCAAAUAGAGUCUAUUGUAAUCGUCAAAUAAGCCGAAUGUCGCUAAAUAUACCCGCUGUUAUUUUAGUCUUUAUUUGUAUAUGAUGAUUUAAUUUUCAUUGACUUGGAUGUGCUGUAGUGUAAAGCGCUCUGACUUCCCACCGCGGGUGGAGAGGGAACGACGAUGCUGAAGCGCACAGAGCCGUCACCG
rnacentral:lncRNA from 1 species